GUCUAAAUGUGAUUUGCCGUGCCCUGUUAAAUAGCUGUUGGACUUCCACCUCCAGGCAUGUGGUGGUGAAUCAGAUGGAAAUUGUUUGACAUAGCACCUUUGACUGCUUUACCAACCAAUAACUUCUCACAGCUUAGACCCCAAAAGAGGUGACAAGGACAAAUUGUUAUUACAGAUCAUUAAAUCAACACCUGGUACCCAUUUGCAGUUGAUUUUAGCCAACUCUGAUUUUUGUCAAGCUCCAACAGGAUGUGGCACAUUUGUCUAUUCACCUGCUUUUUCCUGCUCUUUGUGUUCUGUGUGUCCCUUGUCCGUGUAGGCUGGACGUGGAUGGAGACUGUUCUAAUUUUCCAACCACUCCAAUGAUCUUGACCUUCUGUCCUGUCGCACCUGUGCCUCUUCAACUCAUUACACCCCAGCAGUUUUGGAGUGUGGUUCACAGUUCCCAUCAUCUUGGGAUCCAGAUGAGCAAACACAACUCCGUGGAAGCGGUGACCUUUUUACAGCGAACAGGCGUUAUCGCCCUGCACAGUGCUCAGAGCGGCUCUCCCAGACGCCUUAAUGAAGGUCGGCGGGCUGCCUCAACACUCUUCGUAGCUUCCACUGGGCUCAGCCCAAUACCCUCUCCACUCCUCCUCAACCCUCAGAGUACUCCCUACUUCCUGCAGCGCAUCGCCCCAUCGCGUUAAUCUGAGCUGCUCUCUGGAGACAAUGUGAUGCUAAUAAGUCUGGAAACUUUAAAAUGCAUGGGAAGGGUUUUUUAAUGUUAUUUCAGCUUUCACUUUUCAUUUCUGUUUGGAAAGUUAAAAGCAACCAUGUUUGCAUCCUCGCUAUGAAAUAAACAUCGAAGGAUUAAUUUUUGAGGACCAAAUUAAAGUUUAAAAUCAGAGGGGCAUUUGAAAUUGUUCCCAUCUGUGCUAUGAAAUUAGUGCCCUGGUUAUUUGAUGAAAAAAUUAGAGAUAUUGAUUAUCGGAAGGUCAAAAAGAAAGCAUCCCAUUAUAAUGUUUGGAAAAGU
rnacentral:lncRNA from 1 species